AUACGGAGGGUGUAAGCGUUAUCCGGAUUCAUUGGGUUUAAAGGGUACGUAGGCGGAUAGAUAAGUUAGUGGUGAAAUCCCGAAGCUCAACUUCGGAACUGCCAUUAAAACUGUCUAUCUUGAAUUUGGUUGAAGUGGGCGGAAUAUGACAUGUAGCGGUGAAAUGCAUAGAUAUGUCAUGGAACACCGAUAGUGAAGACAGCUCACUAAGCCAAUAUUGACGCUGAGGUACGAAAGCAUGGGUAGCGAACAGGAUUAGAAACCCCAGUAGUCC
rnacentral:rRNA from 1 species